AUGGCUGCCAUGUGGUCUCCAAUCAUCGCUCUCCUCUUGCUCCUGCUCCCACUCGUGCCGUCCUCCUCCUCCGCCAUCACGCUCCCGCUCCAUGGCAACGUCUAUCCUGUCGGCCACUACUAUGUUACGUUGCAGAUUGGUAAACCCCUGAAGCACUACUUCUUGGACAUCCACACCGGAAGCAACCUCACCUGGCUGGAGUGUCAGCACCCGCACCUCGGCUGCCAGCACUGCACCCAGGGGCAUAAACACUCAUAUUACUCGCCAAAACUUAGCAACUUGAAGGUGGGAUGUCAACACAUGUACUGUGUUGCACUGCGGAAAGACCUGCCAGGUAUUAACCCUCAAUGCCCCAUCAAGGAGCCACAUCAAUGCCACUACAAAAUUCGAUACCUCGAUGGGACGACAGAAGGUGUUCUCUCCCUUGACAAGAUCUCUGUCGGGGGAAAGGAAAACAAUAUUGCGUUAGGAUGUGGAUACAACCAGCACCCACGGAAACCAUCGCCCGUACAUGGCAUCCUUGCCCUUGGGAUGGGAACGGUGGGUUUUGUCCCGCAACUCAAGUUGCAGAAGAUGAUUUCCAAGAACAUCAUUGGGCAUUGCCUUGGCAAGGAUGGAGGGGGCUACCUCUUCUUUGGGGACAAGCAGUUUGGCUCGGAAGGCAUAACCUGGGCACCCAUGAGAAGAUACGAACUUUUCUACUCACCUGGUCAAGCAAAACUACACCUAGACGGACAGCCAGAGCCUAUAUACAAGCAUGGAGUGAAUGCUGUCUUUGACAGUGGUUCCACCUACACCUACAUACCUGCCCGGAUAUACAAUCCCUUUGUUCAUACGGUGAGACAUAUGAUCGGCAGUUCACACCGCGAGGUGCAUGAUCAUGACCUGCCACAUUGCUGGAAAUUCAAAUCUAUCGACGAGGUUAAGAGGUUGUUCAAGCCACUGUCAUUGCAGUUUGACAACAAAAUUGCCAUGCAUAUCCCUGCUAUGAACUACCUCAUCCACACGAGAAGCAAUAAUUGGUGCCUGGCCAUCCUCAACGGAACACACGUUGGUGAAGACCGACGGAUCUUGAUUGGAGACGCUACAAUGCGGGAUAUGCUUGUGAUAUACGACAAUCAGGAUGGUAGGCUGGGAUGGGUUCACCAACAAGAGUGCACCAGGCCUCAUCCUGCUUCGCGUCUCUGA
rnacentral:rRNA from 1 species